rnacentral:rRNA from 1 species
UACGAAGGGGACUAGCGUUGUUCGGAAUUACUGGGCGUAAAGCGCACGUAGGCGGAUUUGUAAGUCAGGGGUGAAAUCCCGGGGCUCAACCUCGGAACUGCCUUUGAUACUGCAAAUCUCGAGUCCGAGAGAGGUGGGUGGAAUUCCUAGUGUAGAGGUGAAAUUCGUAGAUAUUAGGAAGAACACCGGUGGCGAAGGCGGCCCACUGGCUCGGUACUGACGCUGAGGUGCGAAAGCGUGGGGAGCAAACAGG